ACGAACGCUGGCGGCGUGCUUCACACAUGCCAGCCGAACGGAAAGGCCCUGCUUUUGUGGGGUGCUCGAGUGGCGAACGGGUGAGUAACACGUGAGUAACCUGCCCUUGACUUUGGGAUAACUUCAGGAAACUGGGGCUAAUACUGGAUAGGAGCUCCUGCUGCAUGGUGGGGGUUGGAAAGUUUCGGCGGUUGGGGAUGGACUCGCGGCUUAUCAGCUUGUUGGUGGGGUAGUGGCUUACCAAGGCUUUGACGGGUAGCCGGCCUGAGAGGGUGACCGGCCACAUUGGGACUGAGAUACGGCCCAGACUCCUACGGGAGGCAGCAGUGGGGAAUAUUGCACAAUGGGCGGAAGCCUGAUGCAGCAACGCCGCGUGCGGGAUGACGGCCUUCGGGUUGUAAACCGCUUUCGCCUGUGACGAAGCGUGAGUGACGGUAAUGGGUAAAGAAGCACCGGCUAACUACGUG
rnacentral:rRNA from 1 species